GGUCCUGCCACCUCCGAAGCAAAAGAAGGACCCACCUCCUAAUAAAGCAAAGCCUCCACCUCCGAAGCUUCCAUAUGAACGAACUAUGGAGGAAAGUCAUACGAUAUCUAAGGCUGAGGUUGUUGCUCACUUCGGGCCAAAGAAGAAGCCCGAGGAACCACCAAUUGAUGAAGCAACGAAGAAAUAUUUUAAAUCCCUGGUGGUUAAAAAAGUGGUGAAAGAACCCAUCUGGAACAAUGAUUGCUCAAUCACAAAGGCAUUUGAGAAGAAAAAAGAUCACAGUCUACC
rnacentral:lncRNA from 1 species